GGAGUGCAGAUGCAGCGAGGACUUGCGCUUUAAGCCCGUCCCAAAUCAUCAUGAAGGGGGGGCGCGGACACUCCAAAACUCCAGUGCGUAAAAGUUGAUCCACAUGGGUUAUGCGCGCACACCGGGCAUCCGCGGAUUUUAUCCUUCAAGACCUGUCAGGAUUGGAGUGAGUGAAGUGUUUUCUGUGGACUGACCGAUGGAAACAUGAGCCGAUUUUAUUAUCGCAUGCUUCUUUUCCCAUUUACUCUCUUCAGUACUGUUUUACUUCCGACUUCUGGAAAAUCCCAAAAUGAAGCUGACAGAAACGGAGAAGAAUGUCCUGACAAUAAGAUUUUAACAGUGGAGUAUCCGUGUAUCAGAGCAGGAGGAGAGCGUGGCACAUGCCUCAGUAUCUUCCAGAAACCUCACAGAAGGAACUUAUAAAGCACCUGGAGAUGAUGAGUCUAUUUGGACCAUCUGUCGCUCAGGACUGAAAGAACCGACCAGCUGCUUCAUUUAUAUUCUGCUGAAGAUUUAAGUGAAACACAUAUUUCUACACUUGGUGAUCCUGCUGAUUUAUUAAAAGUUGUGUGUGUGUGUGUGUGUGUGUGACAUCAAAGAAAGAAAAUACGAACACGGCAGCAAGGUAGAAUUUAACAUUUAAAAUGUCUUUACCAUGCAGUGUAUCACCAACACACACUUCCACGGGUUAAUAACAAUCAGAAUCAAUGCAUUCAUGACAAAAUAGAAAUGAUCUGCAAUUUAAUAAAUAUCUUUUUAAAACAGAUGCUCUGUAGGCUUUGUUUUGCUCGUUCAUAAUUAAAGGAUUUAACAACACAAAGCUCUUUCUAGUCCGCACACACUAGCUAAUAUUAACAUUAUAUAACAUAACUGUUGUUACGGUUUGUUAAGGUUGUCUAUUGAUAGACAGUAACUGCACUCUCUACUGUUUUGUGCUUUCCAAUCUAAUUAAAAUGAAUAUUUCAAGCAUAUUGGUGCUUAAAUUGCUAUUUAUUAACGUGCUUGCGAGUCAGAGUAAUGGCUUGUACUCUUUAGUGUAUUAUUCUGUUGUGUAUUUCCUGUAAUUCUUUCUCCAUUCUGGCAUGUCUCGUUGGGUUAUCUUUGUAUGAGUGAACCUAUUAUGUCCUGAGUCCUGGGCCAGGUAUUUUCCUGCAUCAUUUAUCGCAGCGUGGCCUCAGACAGCACCUGUCUCUGUGCCAUACACUCCUGUCUUACAGUUUCAUUCUCAUCCAAGAAGCAUUUACUCAAGA
ensembl:lncRNA